GUGACAGAGUUCAACACCAAACGGACAGGGAGGAAAGGAGAAGACGGACAAGAUAUAACAUCUGUCAUCCUGGCUUGUCAGCAAUGGGGAAUGGUGGGAGCAGGGUAAACUCUACGGCAGUUGGGAUCGCAGUGGGUUUUGGCAUUCUGGCGAUCCUCUUCACCAUUGGCAUUGUGCAGUUCUGCUGCAAGUACAAAUGCAAAAAGUGCUGCAAGAAAAAGGAGCCGUCAAUGAAAGACAAAGUGCUUACCAAAGUUGGCUUAAAGAAGACUCCAC